GAAAUGCGAUAAGUAAUGUGAAUUGCAGAAUUCAGUGAAUCAUCGAAUCUUUGAACGCACCUUGCGCUCCUUGGUAUUCCUUGGAGCAUGCCUGUUUGAGUAUCAUGAAAUCUUCAAAGUAAAUCUUUUGUUAACUCAAUUGGUUUCUACUUUGGUAUUGGAGGUCUUUGCAGCUUCACACCUGCUCCUCUUUGUUCAUUAGCUGGAUCUCAGUGUUAUGCUUGGUCCACUCGGCGUGAUAAGUUAUCUAUCGCUGAGGACACUGUAAAAGGUGGCCAAGGUAAAUGCAGAUGAACCGCUUCUAAUAGUCCAUUGACUUGGACAAUACUUUUAUGAUCUGAUCUCAAAUCAGGUAGGACUACCCGCUGAACUUAAGC
rnacentral:misc_RNA from 1 species